AUGCCUCAUACUGGUGAUGCGACUACCAUUAUUUCUUCCUGGUACAAGUGCAUUCUGUGUUUCGCUCUUGAUGUCUUUUCAGAGGAAUAUGCAUCUUUGUUUUUCAAGAAAAAAAAUGGAGACUUCUCUGCCAGCUGUGCGGAAUUAACAGAACUGAGAUCACAGUCCCUGAGUAUACUUGGGCUAGCAAGCCGGACAGAGCUGGAAACUUGGGGGAUGCAGAGUUUCUCAGCCUUUUGGAUGCAGUUUCAAGUGCUUGCAAAAAUUCGUCAUGAAAUCACAUUCCUAGAAGGCGCGCCCAAAAGAAUAAAAUCAAUACUCUGA
rnacentral:rRNA from 1 species